AGCUUUGCGCAGUGGCAGUAUCGUAGCCAAUGAGGUUUAUCCAAGGCGCGAUUAUUGCUAAAAAGAAAAGAAAUAUAUAAACA
rnacentral:snRNA from 1 species